GCAUUUGAAACUGGCAGACUAGAGUACUGUAGAGGGGGGUAGAAUUUCAGGUGUAGCGGUGAAAUGCGUAGAGAUCUGAAGGAAUACCGGUGGCGAAGGCGGCCCCCUGGACAGAUACUGACACUCAGAUGCGAAAGCGUGGGGAGCAAACAGGAUUAGAUACCCUGGUAGUCCACGCCGUAAACGAUGUCUACUUGGAGGUUGUGGCCUUGAGCCGUGGCUUUCGGAGCUAACGCGUUAAGUAGACCGCCUGGGGAGUACGGUCGCAAGAUUAAAACUCAAAUGAAUUGACGGGGGCCCGCACAAGCGGUGGAGCAUGUGGUUUAAUUCGAUGCAACGCGAAGAACCUUACCUACUCUUGACAUCCAGAGAACUUUCCAGAGAUGGAUUGGUGCCUUCGGGAACUCUGAGACAGGUGCUGCAUGGCUGUCGUCAGCUCGUGUUGUGAAAUGUUGGGUUAAGUCCCGCAACGAGCGCAACCCUUAUCCUUGUUUGCCAGCGAGUAAUGUCGGGAACUCCAGGGAGACUGCCGGUGAUAAACCGGAGGAAGG
rnacentral:rRNA from 1 species